rnacentral:rRNA from 1 species
GACGAACGCUGGCGGCGUGCUUAACACAUGCAAGUCGAACGGAAAGGCCCUGCUUUUGUGGGGUGCUCGAGUGGCGAACGGGUGAGUAACACGUGAGUAAUCUGCCCUUGACUUUGGGAUAACUUCAGGAAACUGGGGCUAAUACCGGAUAUGAGCUCCUUCUUCAUGGUGUGUGUUGGAAAGUUUGUGCGGUUGGGGAUGGACUCGCGGCUUAUCAGCUUGUUGGUGGGGUAGUGGCUUACCAAGGCUUUGACGGGUAGCCGGCCUGAGAGGGUGACCGGCCACAUUGGGACUGAGAUACGGCCCAGACUCCUACGGGAGGCAGCAGUGGGGAAUAUUGCACAAUGGGCGGAAGCCUGAUGCAGCAACGCCGCGUGAGGGAUGACGGCCUUCGGGUUGUAAACCGCUUUCGCCAGGGACGAAGCGUAAGUGACGGUAAUGGGUAAAGAAGCACCGGCUAACUACGUG